ensembl:snoRNA Small nucleolar RNA ACA64
CCAGAUUGAAAAUAAGCCCAGGUGAACCCGUGACCUGGGGUCAGAUAUCUGUGCCCACAGCACCGUGGUGCAUUAAGCUUAUUGCGUGUGUCUCCUGGUGGCUGCGUGAUAAAACCCAUGUACCUACACUG